GAUGAACGCUGGCGGUCUGCUUAACACAUGCAAGUCGAACGGAGUAGAAAUACUUAGUGGCGGACGGGUGAGUUACGCGUGAGAAUCUGCCUUCAGGACGGAGACAACAGUUGGAAACGACUGCUAAGCCCCGAUGAACCGCAAGGGAAAAUAUUUAUAGACCGAAGAUGAGCUCGCGUCCGAUUGGCUAGUUGGGGGGGUAAGAGCCCACCAAGGCGACGAUCGGGAGCUGGUCUGAGAGGACGAUCAGCCACACUGGGACUGAGACACGGCCCAGACUCCUACGGGAGGCAGCAGUGGGGAAUUUUCCGCAAUGGGCGAAAGCCUGACGGAGCAAGACCGCGUGGGGGAAGAAGGCUCUUGGGUUGUAAACCCCUUUUCUCUGGGAAGAAAGUUGUGAAAGCAACCUGACGGUACCAGAGGAAUCAGCAUCGGCUAACUCCGUGCCAGCCGCCGCGGUAAUAC
rnacentral:rRNA from 1 species